rnacentral:lncRNA from 1 species
ACAAGCCCGGGCAACAAAAACCGGGAGCUGAGCGUGAAGGCCUGGGCGAGCGGAAGGGUGGGAGAGAGGGGCUAGGCCGGGGAGUGAAGCGCUGGGGCCGGGGCCGGCUUUCCAGGAGCCGGCGGGAGCGGGGUGCGUAAGAGGCGGGCGAGGAAGAACCGGCGGGCAACGGGAAGGGCAGAGGUGGAUCGAUCUCUCCCUCAGCGACCCCUCUCGCCGAGUGAAGGGUCGAGGGUUUGGGGCACAAAGGGCGCAAAACGUUUUUUCCUGUGAGAGGAACAUUAAGACUCCUGGGAGGGCUGGGGCUAACGCCUCCGAGAGCCCCACCUGGUCAGCCUAGGGUUAGACGUGUAGCCAGGGUGCUGGGAGGGGGCCGCUGCUGGGCCCCAGAUAGAGGGGUAGAGGCCGCUCAAUCACGGAGCCAGGCCCCACCUGCUGUAGAAACCGCCACCGAGAGCCGGCCGGGCUUGCUGCACGCUCUGGAUUCCGCCUGCCUAUAGGCGAGGCACAAGGGACUGCGAGACCAGGCCUGAAGGCAGAGAGGUCAGCAGGCUCGGGGGCCUCUGCUCCAGCGGACAACAAGCGCACCGGGCGGGAACGGCCGCCUCCCCAGGCGCUGCAGCCUAGCUCUCAUGUGACCCACGGAACUUAGCCCCUCUGUUCUGUUUGCAUACCUGCAAAUUGUGGGCAUUCACGCCGGGACUGCCAACUCACCAGGUUAUUUAUAGUGACAAGAGAGUGAGACAGUGGGCUUGAAAGUGUUUUCCAGACCAAGGCUCUGUCCCACAUAUAGGUGGAUUAACUGGCAAAGGCAGGUCUCUUCUUCGGCCUCUCUGACAUGGUGCCAGCCCUGCUGGAGUCAGCAGGAAUCCAGCACAACAGAUGGUGGUCAGUGGUGACUUCAGCACAGGCAGUUCGUGGGGAGUGGUUGGUGGCCAUGGAGUCCUGACUGGAGUAGGUUAAAAAGAAGGAGGAAAAUCACAAGAAAGAGAGACUGGAGGUGGAGGUUGGGGAGAAAAGAGAUGAUGGUAUGGUGAGAUGUCUACUGAACUGCUCCUGCCAAGGCCCCUCCCCAUGUACUCUCAACAAAAGUUGCAGGCAGCCACCUCUCAACAACCCAUGAAGUGUCUGGAGCUCCACCCUCUGCUCAAGAGGAACGGCACAUGACCCAGGCCUAUGCCAAUCAGCAUUUCACAUUCCUCAUGAUUGGUUCAAAGGUGAGCAAGUAAUUGAAAUCAGUUAAAUUAGUGCCAGCACAAAGAGGCUCUUUCCCCCACCCCAGUAUUACCAUGGUUUUAAUAUGGUUUAUCCCCACAAAACUCACGUUGAGGCUUGGACUCCAGUGUGACAGUAUUGGGAGGUGGUGCCUUUAAGAGAUGAUUAGAUGGUUAAGAGGGAUGAAUGCCUUACUCUUGCAGUGAGUUCUUGUUCUCUCAGUUCUGGAUUAGUUCCCAUGAGAGUGGGUUGUUAUAAAGCAAGGCUGCCUUUUGCGUUUGGUCUCUUUUGCUUGCCCGUCCACUUUUCUGCCACAGUAUAAUGUGGCAGGAGGCCCUCACCAGAUGCAGCUGCCUCAUCUUGAACGUCCUAGUCUCUAGAACUGUGAGCCUAAUAAACCUCUUUGCUUUAUAAAUUACCCAGUCUCAGGUAUAUUGUUAUAGCAACAGAAAACGGAUUAAGACAUAUGUUGUACUUGAACCUUAAUGUACUUGAACUUGAAGUUUGAUGGCUGCAGCAGCUAUAGCCAUCUUACUUCUAUGUGAAGCCUGAGAAUUAAGCAACACAUGGAAGGGAACACAUCUUUUGAGCCCCAAUUUGGCCAUGAGUUGCCCUUAGAUUUUUUUAGUUAUGUGAGCCAGUACAUUUCCUAAAACAGGUAAAAUUAUGUUUUUAGACACUGAUAACCAAAACAGGUCAAACUAUGCUUAUGGCAAUUUGCUUUAAAAGAGAACUAGACAGAGA